rnacentral:rRNA from 1 species
GAUGAACGCUGACAGAAUGCUUAACACAUGCAAGUCAUUGGCGAAGCUGCGCUUGCGCAGUCUAGCCAAGGCGGACGGGUGAGUAACGCGUAAGGAACUUGCCCUGCAGACAGGGAUAACAGACGGAAACGACUGAUAACACCUGGUAUUGUCAGGCUGGCGCAUGCCGGCCUGAUGAAAGGAGACGCUGCAGGAGAGCCUUGCGUCCUAUUAGCUAGUUGGUGGGGUAACGGCCCACCAAGGCGAUGAUAGGUAGCCGGCCUGAGAGGGUGAACGGCCACAAGGGGACUGAGAUCCGGCCCUUACUCCUACGGGAGGCAGCAGUGGGGAAUAUUGGACAAUGGGGGCAACCCUGAUCCAGCAAUUCUGUGUGCACGAAGAAGGUUUUCGGAGUGUAAAGUGCUUUCAGCAGGGAAGAAGAAAGUGACGGUACCUGCAGAAGAAGCGACGGCUAAAUACGUG